UUAGAUUGGAUAUAAGGAAGAAGAUCUUUACAAUAAGGGUGGUGAAAUACUGGAACAGGUUGCCCAGAGAGGUGGUGAAUGCUACGUUCCCGGAGACAUUCAAGGUCAGGCUGGACAGGGCUCUGAGCACCUGAUCAAGCUGUAGGUGUCCCUGUUCAUUGAUGGGGAGUUGGACUAGAUGGUCCUUAAGGAUCCCUUCCAGUACAAACAAUUCUAUGAUUCUACGAAUUAUAAUCCAUCCCAUGGUAUUAAAGCGGACUCAUGUCAGUUAUUUGAAAAUUUAUCUCCCUCAUGUUGUAGCACCAUCUGUAUUAUCAGUACAAAGGCAAGCAGAGGUCAGUGCACUGUCCUCUGAGCCUCUGCUUUACGUGACAGUCUGGAUUCAUAUCCUGCUGAAGCCACUUGAAGGAAUUCCAUGAAUGAUCCUAGUUUUAUUGAACAAAGCACAAUUUUAAUUCCCCUAUUUUCAUCUUCUAAGCAGUCCUUUAGCCAUCUUAAGUAUUCAUCACCUAAUCCAUAUUUAGAAGGCUUUGUGUAGUAAUUCAUCGUGUGAAACCUUGUUGAAAGCUUUCCUAAAAAUCCAUUUAUAAAUGUCUACUGGGUUUCCCUCUUUGUAAGCCAAUCAUCAUUCCAUUUAAAAAUGUAAUCAGAAUUGUUUGUCAUAAUUUCUUUCUCCCAAACCCAUGCUGACUCAUUGUGACCACAUUUUCAUUCUCCGUAUAGGGCUUUAAACUCUCCAUGAACAUUACCACAAAAGUACAGUUUAAGACCAUUGUUAGAUUUAAUUAACUUAUUUUUUGUCUUUAGCAGACACUUACUUCUUUGUGAUGUAAAUAUACUCAGUGUUCUCUAAGCUUCUGUUGCUUUUUCAGUGUUGAAAGAGAUUCACACAAAAAAAGAAUAAUUAAUUGUUCAGCGUUCCACAUUUAGUCUUGUAACAUAACUCUAAGUUAAUAUUUAAUGUUAUAUUACUCAGACACUUAGAGUGCUAUUUUCAGUCUAAGAUACCGUGCUUUAGUGUCUCCUUAAUUUUUACUGCAGUAAUUACCUGAUGACUGUGGGUGUUUUCUCAAGUUUGCCAUUAUAUAAAAAGAAACAUGCUUUAAAUUUAUUGUUCAUCCACUUUAGGAAAACAAAUAGAACAGCAUCUACAACUGAAGCACAGUUCAGAAAUCUUAGAGCUAAUGAUGAUGUCUUCUUGGUCACACACAACAAGAAUAUUCCUCCUGCUGCCUGUUUUAUUUUGUCUACAUUUAAAACAUAAUCUGCUUGUGACAGCAGUCUAGGUAUUCCCAUAUUUAAGUCUCACAGCAGUUAAAAUGUCAGAGAAGCAGAAAACACCUGAGAAUUGCUGGUAUCAUAGGAGGAUGGCGUGAGGUCUUUUAUUCAGCUGAGAGCAUUAUUGCCAGGCUUUGCACUACUCCAGUGUUUUAAUUCAGAUCAUCUGCUCCUCUUUCUCAGAGUGUAACCCUACCUAAUUACAACUGAUUCAAGUUGAUACAGAACAAUUACCAAAUUAACACUGAAUUUUCAAGAACAAUGUUUUCUCAACAGCUUUUCAUAUCCAAAUGUUCUGAGAAUAAAGUAGAAUAUAGUUAACAACUGUAAAUAUGUUGCUCUAUAAACUUUCCUAGUUUAUUCUCACAUUCUGAAGAAGUGAACAUUCAACUUGGAAUCUUUUUAUGUUGCCCAAACAGAGGUCACUUUGAUCCACAGUUUAGGAACAACCUCUAAACCACUCAGUCAUUUACACAAUUACUGUGAUUAUUUCUUGGUAAGGCAGGACACUCCUUUGACCCAAUAUUCAUGUCAUUUAGUAAUGCUAUGUGAAUCCUUCCAAACUACAUCAAUUGUUUGGAAAAACUUCUGUUACCUUCCAAUUUUUUUAUUUGUAGUGAAAUUACAAAUUUCAGUUAAUCAGCAUGCAUUAGUUGGAGUCCUACUUUCAGAAAAUGACUAGUGCAGAGGGAAGCAACUAUAUAUUGUAGCCACACUGUGUUUGGCUUACCAAUUUUGACAUCUUAACCACUAUCUGACUUCUAACAGAAGACAAACAAAUCAGCAAUCUCAGCAUUUUUGAGCAAAGAGCCUGGAUCUGUUCUCAUACCACCACAGUAUCUGCCAUAGAUGACUCCCACUUUGCUGUGUUAAUCCUUACAGACAUUCUUCCACUGUAUGUACUACAAAUAAACCCAUGUAAUACACAGUUCAUGUUGCUAAUUGUAAAUUACAUUUCUCAAGUUUGGACGACAGAGGAUUAACAAAUUAUCAUGGGGAAUACAAACUCAGGAAAAGUCUGAAGAGUGAUACGUAUACAGCAAAUAAAUAUGGUCUGAGAAAGAAAAUAACAGAAGAAACCAUUCGGGCACGUGCUAUGGUGCUGUAUGUUGACUUUUGGAUUUGUCUAUGUGUCUCUUUUACAUGUUGACCAGUUUUGGUGUUUUAUCUCACCAUGGCAUCAGCAGCAGAAACACCUACAUACACAAAUAAAGAAACACCCAGCCACAAUCAAGAUUGUGGUUCAGUUUUAUUUUCAUAUAUAAUAUCUGAAAUUACUGUACCUUUAACCAUCCCUCCCAAUUAAAGCAGGAAGCUGUUUAUGAAGAAGCAAAGCUACAUAUCUAUUUAUCUUUUAAAGCAUGCCCUUGGAGUGUCAAUCAAUUCCACCCAGUAAUUCACUGAGAGUCUGCACCAGCACCAACUUUGCUAUGACAUUAUUUCUGUGUUUUGCUUUUCUCCUCCAACAAUUUCUGCCAUGACUGUUGCUAGUCUGGAAAGAAGUUUACUCCGGAAGACUUUCAUCUCCAAAUCAUGGAAGAUGAGCCAACGGGGAAGAAGGCCGGACUGGCUGAACAAAGACCUUUGGCUGGAUCUCAAGAACAAAAGGAAAGUUUAUGGUCUCUGGAAGAGUGGGCAAGCUACUUAUGAUGAUUACAGGAUAUGAUUUAUGGUGUAGAACAACUCUCUUCAGAUCCAAGACAUAAAGCACACGUCUGGUUUCUUCUUACAGCAUGAUGCCAUACUGUUGUUCUAAAGCCGCCUGAAAUCAUCUCAAGCUGACACAAAACCUCUCUUCAGGAGGUCUCUGCUUCAUCUCUUUCCACAAGAGGUUAAAGGGUUGAGCCAACUAAUUACUAAGAAAAGUAGCUGCUUGUAAAUAUUUGUUCAGAUUCAUUCAGCUACAAACAUACGUCAUAAUGCCUAUAGCCAUAAACUAUUCAUGGACAUUUGCAUCAGUUAAGAUUUUUCAUAUGUAUAUGUUCCACAUUUAUUCAUCACUGCCUUGCCUUUUGUUUGUGUUUCUCCUUUGAUGGUCAUUCAGUCAAAGAGCAUAAACAAGGCACUGUGAUUCAGGCGAUCAUUCACAGCAAAACAAGCAGUUCAUGAAAAAGUUUUGAAGACACUUUUUACAAUUAACCUGUGCAAUUGUCUAUGAUGCUCCCUAAACUUUUACACAUGCUGAAAACAAAAGUGAUCCAUCAGCAGGAAAAGAAAGGGGUCAAUUCAGUCAGAUGCGUGUAGUCAUCUGACUGCACUUAAAAAUAUACCCUCGAAGGCUACAGAUGGGCAAAGAAUUUACAUGACAAGCUGCAAUAUAAAUGAUAAAUGCAUGCUUAUUUUUUGAAAAGUAUUCCGAGUUUCUGGUAUGUCCUUGUGUCUUUGACUGCUGUACACAAGAAUGUACUUAACGACCUUUAGUAAACUUUUCACUUCUCAGGACUAAAAAUGAAGGGAAAAAAAAAAAGACAAACUUUACAAACAAUAAAA
ensembl:lncRNA